rnacentral:rRNA from 1 species
GCGGCCGCUCUGGUUGAUCCUGGCGGAGGUUACUGCUAUCGAGGUCCGACUAAGCCAUGCGAGUCGAAUGUAGCAAUACAUGGCGUACUGCUCAGUAACACGUGGACAACCUACCCUCAGCACGGGGAUAAACCCGGGAAACUGGGUAUAAUACCCGAUAGUUCUGGUAUGCUGGAAUGCUAUCAUGACGAAAGCUCCGGCGACUGAGGAUGGGUCUGCGGCCUAUCAGGUAGUAGUGGGUGUAAUGUACCUACUAGCCUACGACGGGUACGGGUCGUGAGAGCGAGAGCCCGGUGAUGGAUUCUGAGACACGAAUCCAGGCCCUACGGGGUGCAGCAGGCGCGAAAACUUUACAAUGCUGGCAACAGCGAUAAGGGGACCUCGAGUGCCAGGAUACAAUCCUGGCUGUCGUGAUGCCUAAAAAGCAUUGCAUAGCAAGGGCCGGGCAAGACCGGUGCCAGCCGCCGCGGUAACACCGGCGGCUCGAGUGGUAACCGCUAUUAUUGGGUCUAAAGGGUCUGUAGCCGGCCGGAUAAGUCUUUUUGGAAAUCCAGCUGCUCAACAGUUGGGCUUUCAGAAGAUACUGUUCGGCUCGAGACCGGGAGGGGUGAGAGGUACUUCAGGGGUAGGGGUGAAAUCUUGUAAUCCUUGAAGGACCACCAGUGGCGAAGGCGUCUCACCAGAACGGAUCUGACGGCAAGGGACGAAAGCUAGGGGCACGAACCGGAUUAGAUACCCGGGUAGUCCUAGCCGUAAACGGUACUCGCUAGGUGUCAGCCACGGUGAGACCGUGGUUGGUGCCGUAGGGAAGCCGUGAAGCGAGCCACCUGGGAAGUACGGCCGCAAGGCUGAAACUUAAAGGAAUUGGCGGGGGAGCACUACAACGGGUGGAGCUGCGGUUUAAUUAGAUUCAACGCCGGAAAGCUUACCGGGACCGACAGCGAUAUGAAGGCCAGGCUGAAGACCUUGCCGGAUUAGCUGAGAGGUGGUGCAUGGCCGUCGUCAGUUCGCACUGUGAAGCAUCCUGUUAAGUAAGACAACGAGCGAGACUCCA